rnacentral:lncRNA from 1 species
UGCUGCUGGCGCUGGUGUUGCCGCUUGUGUGGCUACUGCUACUGCUGCUGCUGCUGCUGUGGCAUAACAACGGUCGAUUUGUGUUCCCUCUCCCCUCCCUUGCCCCACCUUCUCCUGCUUUUUCCAUCUCAUCCCUCCUUGUGUUCGUCAGGACGUCCUUCUGCCCAUACGUAAAUCGUUUCAGUUAUUAGAUCCUGUCAAC